rnacentral:rRNA from 1 species
UACGUAGGGUCCGAGCGUUGUCCGGAUUUAUUGGGCGUAAAGAGCUCGUAGGCGGUUCCGUAAGUCAGAUGUGAAAACUCAGGGCUCAACCCGGAGACGCCAUCUGAUACUGCGGUGACUUGAGUCUGGUAGGGGAACACGGAAUUCCUGGUGUAGCGGUGAAAUGCGCAGAUAUCAGGAGGAACACCGAUGGCGAAGGCAGUGUUCUGGGCCAGUACUGACGCUGAGGAGCGAAAGCGUGGGGAGCAAACAGG